UACGAAGGGGGCUAGCGUUGCUCGGAAUCACUGGGCGUAAAGGGCGCGUAGGCGGCCAUUCAAGUCGGAGGUGAAAGCCCAGGGCUCAACCCUGGAAUUGCCUUCGAUACUGUUUGGCUAGAGACCGGAAGAGGUAAGUGGAACUGCGAGUGUAGAGGUGAAAUUCGUAGAUAUUGGGUGGAACACCGGUGGCGAAAGCGGCUCACUGGUCCGGUUCUGACGCUGAGGCGCGAAAGCGUGGGGAGCAAACAGG
rnacentral:rRNA from 1 species